rnacentral:rRNA from 1 species
GGAGGUUACUGCUAUCGGUGUUCGCCUACCCUAUGCAAGUCAUAUGUUCUUCGUGAACAUGGCGUACUGCUCAGUAACACGUGAAUAACCUGCCCUUGGGACCGGCAUAACCCCGGGAAACUGGGGAUAAUUCCGGAUACCGCAUAUAUGCUGGAAUGCUUUAUGCGUGAAAUGGAUUCUUCUGCCCAAGGAUGGAUCUGCGGCCUAUCAGGUAGUAGUGGGUGUAAUGUACCUACUACCCUACAACGGGUACGGGUUGUGAAAGCAAGAGCCCGGAAAUGGAUUCUGAAACAUGAAUCCAGGCCCUACGGGGCGCACCAGGCGCGAAAACUUUACAAUGCGGGAAACCGUGAUAAGGGGACACCGAGUGCCAGCAACAUUUGUUGGCUGUCCAGGUGUGUAAACUACACCUGUUAGCAAGGGCCGGGCAAGACCGGUGC